rfam:Picoides pubescens contig81427, whole genome shotgun sequence.
CCUUCGCUGAUGAGGGAAGGUUUUGACUUUCGUUCUUCUGAGCCUGCUGAAGCCACCUGACUGCCCUGAGGAGG